UACAGAGGUCCCAAGCGUUGUUCGGAUUCACUGGGCGUAAAGGGUGCGUAGGUGGCGGGGUAAGUCGGAUGUGAAAUCUCCGAGCUCAACUCGGAAAUGGCAUUGGAAACUACCUUGCUCGAGGGUUGGAGGGGGGACUGGAAUACUUGGUGUAGCAGUGAAAUGCGUAGAUAUCAGGAGGAACACCGGUGGCGAAGGCGGGUCUCUGGGCCGAUACUGACGCUGAGGAGCGAAAGCGUGGGGGAGCGAACAGG
rnacentral:rRNA from 1 species